CCCCUGCAUGUGUGUUUAUCUAUUUUCUACCUGUAUACAUAUGCAGGCACUGAAAACAGACUAGAAGUAGAUACACCAAAAUGUUCACAGGGGUAAUCAGUGCAUGGUGGAGUUAGGGAUAAUUAUUUUAUUCAUUUUGCCUGUCAGUAUUUUCAAUAAUGGCCAUGCAUUACUUUUAGAGAUGGGGGGAAUUAACUCUAGAAGAACAUUAAAGCUUGCCUCUCCCCUCACGUCUUCUUUGGCUUGAGUCACAUCUCACAGAGAGAAAGACCAAGGCACGCUGCACCAAUGAGCUCCCCGAAGUCAUGCUUCCCCUCCCAUGUCGUGCUGGCAUCCUUUCUCCGAGGAAGAGAAUGAGUUUCCAGACAGCAGAGCGGGCCCUUCUCAGGGCCAGGAUGGUCCUGGCAGCAGUCGUUCUCUAACACAUCACGACAUGUGUUUCCAGUAACUCUGUUUGUGGCCGCUUUCUUCUCUUAUCACUCCUCCUGUGACCUUUGCUGGUUGCAGACUUACCGACUGGAGCCAGGUGGAUUUGUUUGAUUUUUGUUGAUGGUUAUUAGGAAGAGGAAGUGCCAGAAGGGAUUACCUCAAGUUUAAACCUAUUUCCAGCAGAGUCCCAGGGCCUUUAAUUACACAUGUUGGGUCUGUUUGGUAAAGAAGUGGUCAAAGAUGUGCUUUUUAUCUCCCUAGGAAUCUCCUGCGACUGGCAGCAUUCCAUUUGUGCCUGAUGUUCCUGUAAACUCCAGCCACAACCCCUGUGGGGAGGAGGGGCUGCUGUGGAGAAUGAGAUAUGAAGUUGAAAGCUGGCAAGUGAAAGAAGACAGACUCCAGGAUUACAUUCUCCAGAGCAUGAGCUGCGUAUAUCACUCGCGAACCUUCCAGACAACUGAAGAAUAACAAUGAAUACUGCCAUCUUCCCAGAGCUCCAGCACUAAUCUUUGUUAAGGCUUAGAGGAAACCACUUUUCUCAGUUUUGAUGUCUAUGAAUCUGCAAUCACUAAUGAAUGGGGAAAAGUCUGUGAAACAUUUAUUUCCUACAUCAAUGAUUAAAAUUAGCUGUUUUUAGAGCAGAAUGAACAACAUACAAAGCAGGUUGGACGACAUCUAUUUCACACAAUUGCAUCUCAGUUUCUGACCUAGGUAAAAUCCUGCAUAAAUGUAGGAGAAUCCUCUAUAUUAAUAUGUUCUGUAUUCAGGUUUAAGAGAUGUGCAUUUACAUUUACAUUUUAUUAAUUCAUCAACUGAUACUUAAGAAUUAAAACUCUCAAAAUCAGAAGACGAUGCUUUUUGGUAAAGAAAAAAAGAAACAGGCUAUAAGUAAAAACAGGUAUAAAAAUUAACACAAAACCUUUGAGUAAUGUAUUUAUCCUAUAAGCGGAAAAUUCUGAGAAUAAUGGAGGACUGAGGGGAUUAAAAUGCCACGCAGUAGAUGGACUAUUUCAGAUUUUAUAGUCAGGGAAACUGGCUUCGGGAGGACAGCUCUCAAUUCAUGUACUUUACGUAAGAGCAGUUCUUUCUAUAGGCCAUAAAGUUGUAGGUGAUACAAUCAACUGGGUUAUAAAAUAGCUUCUUUUUAGAAUGGAGAUGAUACAAAAAUCAAUUUCUACAACCAUCAUUUCCUCCUGAACACCUCUUUCACUUUCAACCUAAACUUACUCUCCCCUUUGGGAAUUCCCAGUGUAUUUCUUUGAGAUGUCUUCCACAUUAACAGUAGAGCCUACAAAGAACCAACAUGCAGAGGCUACUUGUCAAAGGGCACUUUCUGUAGGUAGUCUAAAAGAACACAAUUAUACACAUACACAAACGUGUACAGGUAUACGCAAAAGGGAAAAGGAGAUGCAAGAGUACUGUACUACUGCUUUAACAAAUGCUCUCACCCAAUCCACCUUAUCCAUCUUACAGGAUAGAAACACUAUUUAGGGUUUAAAAUACGCAAAAAAACAUUUUUUUUAAAUAUAUAAACCAUCUAUGGAAGCAUAUUUUGCCUUCUGUUAUGACCCUCAUCAUUCCUCAACUCAUAUUCUAAAAGCCUGAGAGGUGAAAAUCUUCUGAACAGCUGAACCACCCACAGAACCUGAAAAUUAUUAUACAUUUUGCACAUGAUUAACCUAUAUUCACCACUGAGGUUUAACCAAGAACCAGAUUCACAUAGGUAAUAGGGGUCACAACUACUUUUUCAUAAAAUAUACCCUCCUACUGGCCAGGUGAGGUGGCUCACGCCUGUAAUUCCAGCACUUCAGAUUGCUUGAGCCCAGGAAUUCAAGACCAGUCUGGGCAACAUGGCAAAACCCUGUCUCUACUAAAAAUACAAAAAUUAACUGGGUGUGGUGGCACAUGCCUGUAGUCCCAGCUACUUGGGGAGGCUGAGGUGGGAUGGCUUGAGCCUGGAAGGUGAAGGUUGCAGUGAGCCAAGAUCACGACUUUGUACUUAAGUCUGGGCAACAGAGCGAGACCCUGUCUCAAAAAAAAAAAAAAAAAAAAAAAAAAAAUCUAUGCAUCCAUCUAUCUAUACAAACACACAUCCUCCUACUUUACAUAAAUGUACAAUUCCAUGUCUAUUCUUAGCAUGUUUUCAGUUAAAAUUAGAUUACUGAUGUUUACAAGAAGCACGGUCAAAUGAUUUUUUUCAUUUUAUGUCAAUGUUUACACGCCAACCCUCCAGAAGGUUGGGACAAUGGGAAGAGGGCAUUGGACUGGAUGUAAAGCCUGAGGCCAGGGGUCUAGUUUUGUUAGGGUCUAGAUUCUCACCCCAGAAUCUUACCCCCUCAGGCAAUCACUCAAAUUGAAAUAUCACUUCUAUUGGUCCUGAUACUCUACUUCAGUAGUUAUCUUACUUCUUCCUUUGAAUGUAAACCAUUUAUAGCUAAGUAGAGUAUAUUUUAGUAUAAGAACACAGUGAAGGCUGGGUGCGGUGGCUCACACCUGUAAUCCCAGCACUUUGGGAGGCCGAGGCGGGCGGAUCACGAGGUCAAGAGCUCGAGACCAGCCUGACCAACAUAGUGAAACCCCGUCUCUACUAAAAAUAUAAAAAUUAGCUGGGCGUAGUGGCGCGCGCCUGUAAUCCCAGCUACUUGGGAGGCUGGGGCAGGAGAAUCGCUUGAACCUGGGAGGCGGAGGUUGCAGUGAGUGGAGAUCGCAACACUGCAUUCCAGCCUGGGCGACAGGGCGAGACUCCGUCUCAAAAAACAAACAAACAAAAAACACAUAGUGAAGACCAAACAAAAUUUCAUCUGUACUAAUAAUGACUCACGGUGGGCCAGAGCUCAAGUCAGUAUGUAAUAAGAAAGCAAAGGGAAAAAAAAAAUCAUUUACUUCACUAAAACUUCUGUUGUUUCUUUAAAACUCUAAACAAAAUUGACCCUAUAAGUAAAGAUAUUCAUUCUUAUCAUUUUUUAACAAGCAAAUUUUAAUAAUGCCUUUUAUUUCUAUACAAAGCAAUGUAACUUUCU
rnacentral:lncRNA from 1 species